CUCGAGGCCAGAUCUUUCCGGUUGAUCCUGCCGGACCUGACUGCUAUCGGAUUGAUACUAAGCCAUGCGAGUCAUUGUAGCAAUACAAGGCAGACGGCUCAGUAACACGUAGUCAAUCUACCCUAUGGACGGGGAUAACCUCGGGAAACUGAGAAUAAUACCCGAUAGAUCAUUAUGCCUGGAAUGGUCUAUGGUCCAAAUGAUAUAUCGCCAUAGGAUGGGACUGCGGUCUAUCAGCUUGUUGGUGAGGUAAUGGCCCACCAAGGCUAUAACAGAUACGGGCUCUGAGAGGAGAAGCCCGGAGAUGGGUACUGAGACACGGACCCAGGCCCUAUGGGGCGCAGCAGGCGAGAAAACUUUGCAAUGUGCGAAAGCACGACAAGGUUAAUCCGAGUGGUUUCUGCUAAAGGAAUCUUUUGUCAGUCCUAAAAACACUGACGAAUAAGGGGUGGGCAAGUUCUGGUGUCAGCCGCCGCGGUAAAACCAGCACCUCAAGUGGUCAGGAGGAUUAUUGGGCCUAAAGCAUCCGUAGCCGGCCGUGUAAGUUUUCGGUUAAA
rnacentral:rRNA from 1 species